GAUGAACGCUGUCGGCGUGCCUAAUACAUGCAAGUCGAGCGAACAGACGAGGAGCUUGCUCCUCUGACGUUAGCUGCGGACGUGUGAGUAACACGUGGAUAACCUACCUAUAAGACUUGGAUAACUUCGGGAAACCGGAGCUAAUACCGGAUAAUAUAUUGAACCUCAUGGUUCAAUAGUGAAAGACGUUUUUUCUGUCACUUAUAGAUUGAUCCGCGCCGCAUUAGCUAGUUGGUAAGGUAACGGCUUACCAAGGCAACGAUGCGUAGCCGACCUGAGAGGGUGAUCGGCCACACUGGAACUGAGACACGGUCCAGACUCAUACGGGAGGCAGCAGUAGGGAAUCUUCCGCAAUGGGCGAAAGCCUGACGGAGCAACGCCGCGUGAGUGAUGAAGGUCUUCGGAUCGUAAAACUCUGUUAUUAGGGAAGAACAAAUGUGUAAGUAACUAUGCACGUCUUGACGGUACCUAAUCAGAAAGCCACGGCUAACUACGUG
rnacentral:rRNA from 1 species